rnacentral:rRNA from 1 species
AGGGGCCCGCACAAGCGAGGAACAUGUGGUUAAUUCGAUGAUACGCGAGGAACCUUACCUGGGCUUAAAUGGGGAGUGACAGCUGUCGAAAGAUGGUUUCUUCGGACACUCUUCAAGGUGCUGCAUGGUUGUCGUCAGCUCGUGCCGUGAGGUGUCGGGUUAAGUCCCAUAACGAGCGCAACCCUUACCGUUAGUUACCAUCAGGUUAAGCUGGGGACUCUAGCGGGACUGCCACCGUAAGGUGAGAGGAAGUGGGGAUGACGUCAAAUCAGCACGGCCCUUAUGUCCAGGGCUACACACGUGUUACAAUGGCCAGUACAAAGGGCAGCUACCGGGUGACCGGAUGCUAAUCUCUAAAGCUGGUCUCAGUUCGGAUCGAAGUCUGCAACCCGACUUCGUGAAGCUGGAUUCGCUAGUAAUCGCGCAUCAGCCAUGGCGCGGUCGAAUACGUUCCGGGCCUU